rnacentral:rRNA from 1 species
UACGGGGGGAGCAAGCGUUGUUCGGAUUUACUGGGCGUAAAGGGUGCGUAGGUGGGCAGGUAAGUCAGUGGUGAAAUCUCUGGGCUUAACCCAGAAACUGCCGUUGAUACUAUCUGUCUUGAAUAUAGUGGAGGUGAGCGGAAUAUGUCAUGUAGCGGUGAAAUGCUUAGAUAUGACAUAGAAUACCGAUAGCGAAGGCAGCUUACUACAUGUUAAUUGACGCUGAGGCACGAAAGCGUGGGGAGCAAACAGG